CAGUCGCCACGGUAAUACGAAGGGGGCUAGCGUUGCUCGGAAUUACUGGGCUUAAAGCGCGUGUAGGCGGGCCGCCACGUCGGUUGCUGAAAUCCCCCGGCUCAACCGGGGAAGUGGCAUCGAUACGAGCGGCCUUGAGGGGGGUAGGGGGAUCUGGAACUUCCGGUGGAGCGGUGAAAUGCGUUGAGAUCGGAAAGAACACCAACGGCGAAAGCACUCUGCUGGGCCGACACUGACACUGAGAGACGAAAGCUAGGGGAGCAAAUGGGAUUAGAUACCCCCGUAGUCCCUGUCUCUUAUA
rnacentral:rRNA from 1 species